rnacentral:misc_RNA from 1 species
GCAAACUUGGUCAUUUAGAGGAAGUAAAAGUCGUAACAAGGUCUCCGUUGGUGAACCAGCGGAGGGAUCAUUAUAGAGCGUAAAAAACUCCCUAAACCCACUGUAAAUCUUACCUGUUUGUUGCUUUGGCAGGCGGUCCCAGGGCGGGGCCAGAGCCGGUCAGGCGCCUGCCGAGCGUAUUUUUAAGCUAUCUCUGUGAGCGGGAAUUUCUGAGCGAAAACUAAAAUGUUAAAAACUUUCAACAACGGAUCUCUUGGUUCUGGCAUCGAUGAAGAACGCAGC